AGAGAUUGCCGGCGCAAGCCGGUCCUACAACCACACACACCCGUGAACCGUCGGGGUCAGCGAGGCGGCAUCUUGUGCCGUGAUAGCGCCCGCACCUGGAGUCAGCGAAACGGCCCUCGGGCCCUAAUAGCGUCCGUUUACAAACUCUUAGAAACGUAACGAACGUAGUCUUAUUUUAACAAAUA
rnacentral:misc_RNA from 1 species